AGUGAACGCUGGCGGUAGGCCUAACACAUGCAAGUCGAACGGCAGCACAGUAAGAGCUUGCUCUUACGGGUGGCGAGUGGCGGACGGGUGAGGAAUACAUCGGACUCUACUUUUUCGUGGGGGAUAACGUAGGGAAACUUACGCUAAUACCGCAUACGACCUACGGGUGAAAGCAGGGGAUCUUCGGACCUUGCGCGAUUGAAUGAGCCGAUGUCGGAUUAGCUAGUUGGCGGGGUAAAGGCCGACCAAGGCGACGAUCCGUGGCUGGUCUGAGUGGAUGAUCAGCCACACUGGAACUGAGACACGGUCCAGACUCCUACGGGAGGCAGCAGUGGGGAAUAUUGGACAAUGGGCGCAAGCCUGAUCCAGCCAUACCGCGUGGGUGAAGAAGGCCUUCGGGUUGUAAAGCCCUUUUGUUGGGAAAGAAAAGCAGCAGGUUAAUACCCCGCUGUUCUGACGGUACCCAAAGAAUAAGCACCGGCUAACUUCGUG
rnacentral:rRNA from 1 species